AGAUUAAGUUAUUAAGGGCGCACGGUGGAUGCCUUGGCACUAGAAGCCGACGAAGGACGUUACUAACGACGAUAUGCUUUGGGGAGCUGUAAGUAAGCUUUGAUCCA
rnacentral:rRNA from 1 species